rnacentral:tRNA from 1 species
AAGUCCCGGUGCACUCUUAAUGCACAUCAAUGAGUUUGCAACCCACCAUGAAUUUCACCACAGGACU